rnacentral:rRNA from 1 species
CCCCUAGAUGUUCUGGGCCGCACGCGCGCUACACUGAACAGUUCAACAAGUCUUAACCUUGGCCGAUAGGUCUGGGUAAUCUUUGAACGCUGUUCGUGAUUGGGAUAGACCUUUGCAAUUAUGGGUCUUCAACGAGGAAUUCCUAGUAAACGCAAGUCAUCAGCUUGCAUUGAUUACGUUCCUGCCCUUUGUACACACCGCCCGUCGCACCUACCGAUUGAAUGGUCCGGUGAAAUCUCGGGACGGCGGCUCGGUCGCUUGCGUCCGACUGCUGAAACUUGAUUAAACCAUAUCAUUUAGAGGAAGGUGAAGUCGUAACA